rnacentral:rRNA from 1 species
GGGCCCGCACAAGCGGUGGAGUAUGUGGUUUAAUUCGAUGCAACGCGAAGAACCUUACCAGGGUUUGACAUCCUGCGAAUCUCUUGGAAACGAGAGAGUGCCUUCGGGAACGCAGUGACAGGUGGUGCAUGGCUGUCGUCAGCUCGUGUCGUGAGAUGUUGGGUUAAGUCCCGCAACGAGCGCAACCCACGUCUUUAGUUGCCAGCAUUUAGUUGGGCACUCUAAAGAAACUGCCCGUGAUAAGCGGGAGGAAGGUGUGGAUGACGUCAAGUCCUCAUGGCCCUUACGGGUUGGGCUACACACGUGCUACAAUGGCAGUGACAAUGGGUUAAUCCCCAAAGCUGUCU